rnacentral:sRNA from 19 species
UUUUUACACAGGCAUUUAUUGCGCUGUAUACGUGGGUAGCUGAAUUAACGUUUAAGCGGCGUAUUUCCGUCGCCAGCCCCACGGUUAGGAAGGCCGCGUUUAGCGGCUUUUCCUAUAGUUAG